rnacentral:rRNA from 1 species
UAAUGUAUGGGGAUCUGCCCGAUAGAGGGGGAUAACUACUGGAAACGGUGGCUAAUACCGCAUAAUGUCUACGGACCAAAGCAAGGGCUCUUCGGACCUUGCACUAUCGGAUGAACCCAUAUGGGAUUAGCUAGUAGGUGGGGUAAAGGCUCACCUAGGCGACGAUCUCUAGCUGGUCUGAGAGGAUGAUCAGCCACACUGGGACUGAGACACGGCCCAG